rnacentral:rRNA from 1 species
GGGCCCGCACAAGCGGCGGAGCAUGUGGAUUAAUUCGAUGCAACGCGAAGAACCUUACCUGGGCUUGACAUACACCGGAUCGCUGCAGAGAUGUAGCUUCCCUUGUGGUCGGUGUACAGGUGGUGCAUGGUUGUCGUCAGCUCGUGUCGUGAGAUGUUGGGUUAAGUCCCGUAACGAGCGCAACCCUUGUCUUAUGUUGCCAGCACGUGAUGGUGGGGACUCAUGAGAGACUGCCGGGGUCAACUCGGAGGAAGGUGGGGAUGACGUCAAAUCAUCAUGCCCCUUAUGUCCAGGGCUUCACACAUGCUACAAUGGUCGGUACAGCAGGUUGCCAGCUCGUAAGAGUGCGCUAAUCCUCUAAAGCCGGCCUCAGUUCGGAUUGGGGUCUGCAACUCGACCCCAUGAAGUCGGAGUCGCUAGUAAUCGCAGAUCAGCAACGCUGCGGUGAAUACGUUCCCGGGCCUU